CAGGAUGAACGCUAGCUACAGGCUUAACACAUGCAAGUCGAGGGGCAGCAUGGAGUUUGCUUGCAAACUCUGAUGGCGACCGGCGCACGGGUGAGUAACGCGUAUCCAACCUUCCCUAUAGUAGAGGAUAGCCCGGCGAAAGUCGGAUUAAUACUCUAUGUUUUCCGUUGCAGACAUCUAAGAUGGAACAAAGGCUUGCCGCUAUAGGAUGGGGAUGCGUCUGAUUAGGUAGUCGGCGGGUAACGGCCCACCGAGCCAUCGAUCAGUAGGGGUUCUGAGAGGAAGGUCCCCCACAUUGGAACUGAGACACGGUCCAAACUCCUACGGGAGGCAGCAGUGAGGAAUAUUGGUCAAUGGGCAAGAGCCUGAACCAGCCAAGUAGCGUGCAGGAUGACGGCCCUAUGGGUUGUAAACUGCUUUUAUGCGGGGAUAAAGUUCACUACGUGUAGUGUUUUGUAGGUACCGCAUGAAUAAGGACCGGCUAAUUCCGUGCCAGCCGCGGC
rnacentral:rRNA from 1 species